GUUUCGUGGCGCAAUCGGUUAGCGCUUCGGCUGUUAACCGAAAGGUUGAUGGUUCGAAUCCAUCCAGAAACG
rnacentral:tRNA from 1 species